rnacentral:tRNA from 1 species
GGUAAAAUGGCUGAUAAAAGCAUUAGACUGUAAAUCUGAGUAUGGGGGUCAAGUCCUCUUUUGCCA